rnacentral:tRNA from 1 species
GGAGGAUUGGCGGAGUGGUUGAACGUGCCUGAUUCGAAAUCAGGUGUACCUUCACGGGUACCGGGGGUUCGAAUCCCUCAUCCUCCG